AAUAGAUACCCCGGUAGUCCUAGCCGUAAACGAUGUAUACUUGGUGUAGCUGGUCUCAACCCCGGCUGUGCCGUAGCUAACGCGUUAAGUAUACCGCCUGGGGAGUACGCUCGCAAGGGUGAAACUCAAAAGAAUUGACGGGGACCCGCACAAGCAGUGGAGCAUGUGGUUUAAUUCGAUGCAACGCGAAGAACCUUACCUGGGCUUGACAUGCAGAGGACAGGAUCAGAGAUGAUCUCUCCCUUCGGGGUCUCUGCACAGGUGCUGCAUGGCUGUCGUCAGCUCGUGCCGUGAGGUGUUGGGUUAAGUCCCGCAACGAGCGCAACCCUUGUCACUAGUUGCCAACAUUUAAGGUGGGAACUCUAGUGAGACUGCCUGGGGUUAACCAGGAGGAAGGUGAGGAUGACGUCAAGUCCGCAUGGCCCUUAUGUCCAGGGCUACACACGUGCUACAAUGGGCGGUACAGAAGGCAGCUAAGCCGUGAGGUAGAGCCAAUCCUAGAAAACCGUCCCAGUUCGGAUUGU
rnacentral:rRNA from 1 species